UGGGGAAUAUUGGACAAUGGGCGAAAGCCUUAUCCAGCCAUGCCGCGUGUGUGAAGAAGGUCUUCGGAUUGUAAAGCACUUUAAGUUGGGAGGAAGGGCAUUAACCUAAUACGUUAGUGUUUUGACGUUACCGACAGAAUAAGCACCGGCUAACUCUGUGCCAGCAGCCGCGGUAAUACAGAGGGUGCAAGCGUUAAUCGGAAUUACUGGGCGUAAAGCGCGCGUAGGUGGUUUGUUAAGUUGGAUGUGAAAUCCCCGGGCUCAACCUGGGAACUGCAUUCAAAACUGACUGACUAGAGUAUGGUAGAGGGUGGUGGAAUUUCCUGUGUAGCGGUGAAAUGCGUAGAUAUAGGAAGGAACACCAGUGGCGAAGGCGACCACCUGGACUAAUACUGACACUGAGGUGCGAAAGCGUGGGGAGCAAACA
rnacentral:rRNA from 1 species